UUACGACCAUAUCCCGUUGAAACACCGGGUUUCGUAUGAUCACCGAAGUUAAAUAAAGUUGAGCCUGGUCAAUACCUAGAUAGGCGACCGCUUGGGAAUACCAG